UUCUGUUAUUGUGUCUGUCUGUCUGUUCUGUUAUUGUGACUGAGUCUGUCUGUCUGUCUGUUCUGUUAUUGUAUUUUGUUUUGUUUUGUUGCACAAAACUAUCCACACAGUACUUCUUCUUUGCAUCCCAAAAAAGCACAAUAAUUCUCUUUUCUAGUGCACUACUGUUGACCAGGCUCCAUAAGGCUUCAGUUAAAGUAGUGCACUACUGUUGACCAGGCUCCAUAAGGCUUCAGUUAAAGUAGUGCACUACUGUUGAACCCCUUGCAGUUCAGACCCCACUUGGAGAACCCCUGAUAUAGGGGAUAGGGUGCUAUUUGGCGAUGUACCCCUUAUAUUGUAAAGGUUGUGGGCAAUAUAACUCUGAGCAAUGCUUCUACUGAACUGUGGAGUGAGUUUCUCCAGAAAACAAAGAUUAUCUUUAGCCUUCAGAUCAUUGUCUAUCCAUUGGACUUGAGAUGAUAUUUUACAUUUUUAGGAAACGUACCCCUGGACUUUCCCAGACACAUUAAGAUUAGUAGUCCUGGACAAAACAAUAUUUUUGAUAUAGAUUCUCCUUUGAGCUUUUUAAUCCACGGCUGAGGCAGGGAUUCAAUCCGGUCGCAGGUUACAGGCAGUGUUCCCACGUCCGUGGAGAACCCAUGCACAGUAAACGCUACGUAUGGCAGCUCAAUCGGAAAUUACCUUUAAAAAAACGCAACGCUUAUAACCCGCGAUCGGAUUUAAUCAGGUCUAAAUCGUGUGCCCAGGAAACCACCAUCUUUCAGUUACCUAGCCAUAUUGUAACAGACUGUAUUUAAUUAGUUUCAUGUUUCUGACGUGGACAUUAUGGAACUCAUAGGAAAUGCAGGUGUCUUUGCUAAGUGUCCAUAGGGGUGCUGCAAUGAUGCAUAUUUUGCAAACAUUUGAUUGACAAUUGCUCGUAUGAACUUAGAGCCAUUGAAUAUGCAUUACUCAGUAUAUGUUGAUUAUACCUGCAAUAGAGGCCACCAUGUUUGGGCAGAAAGCAUUGUUUUGAUAUGUAAUACAGUACCUGCAAUUUACAUGUAUGCAACUGUAGCCUUGGAUACCAGGCGUAGCCAACGAGACCAGAUCUGGAAGGAUGGUUCCGCGAGACUAAUGCAACGGUCUUACAAGUACCGGUCUACUAAAAAAAAACUCACUGUGGAUUUGAUCCUCUGUGCUGACUGCCUGCCUGUUACCCACUGAGGUGACUGCCUGGAUGUUACCCACUGAGGUGACUGACUGGAUGUUACCCACUGAGGUGACUGACUGGAUGUUACCCACUGAGGUGACUGCCUGGAUGUUACCCACUGAGGUGACUGACUGGAUGUUACCCACUGAGGUGACUGACUGGAUGUUACCCACUGAGGUGACUGACUGGAUGUUACCCACUGAGGUGACUGCCUGCCUGCCUGUUACCCACUGAGGUGACUGCCUGGAUGUUACCCACUGAGGUGACUGCCUGGAUGUUACCCACUGAGGUGACUGCCUGGAUGUUACCCACUGAGGUGACUGACUGCCUGCCUGUUACCCACUGAGGUGACUGACCGACUGCCUGUUACCCACUGAGGUGACUGACCGCCUGCCUGUUACCCACUGAGGUGACUGACCGCCUGCCUGUUACCCACUGAGGUGACUGACCGCCUGCCUGUUACCCACUGAGGUGACUGACCGCCUGCCUGUUACCCACUGAGGUGACUGACCGCCUGCCUGUUACCCACUGAGGUGACUGACCGCCUGCCUGUUACCCACUGAGGUGACUGACCGCCUGCCUGUUACCCACUGAGGUGACUGACCGCCUGCCUGUUACCCACUGAGGUGACUGACCGCCUGCCUGUUACCCACUGAGGUGACUGACCGCCUGCCUGUUACCCACUGAGGUGACUGACCGCCUGCCUGUUACCCACUGAGGUGACUGACCGCCUGCCUGUUACCCACUGAGGUGACUGACCGACUGCCUUCAGGAUGUUUAUACCCCAACAAGAUGCCUUAUGACCUUGUCAUCGCAACAAGGAAAUGUCUGUAUAUCUAUAUGCACUUAGUCUUCCUCUGUCCCAGUACUAUCAUGUAGCAUUUGUAUAGGUAUGUAUGCCUUUUGUAUGAAUAAAUAUUUGUAAUAUUUAA